CCAGUAAUUUGUGUGCUCGCAGAGCAUUUUCCAUCACAUGAGCCUGAAAUGGAAGAGGAUUUAUGGAAUGGAGAGCAUGAGGCACCAAUUCAGCAAAUACCAGAGUGUGUAUGUAAGUGUUUGCAGGUCUAAAUAUGCAAGUGGUCUUGAUCUUCUUAAGCUGCUUCAUGCUGCUGACUCCAAAGGCUGAUGGGAGAACCUGCACACAGUUUGCACAUCAAGAUUUUUACAAGUUUUGUGUAAUGAGAGCUUUCUCACCAUGUUGAUUGAGCAUCGUCUUCCACUCAUUACUUCUCAGCCUGUUUAAUAGAUUUACUGCUACUGAGCACCCUCAGCGGAUGCUGAAUGUCACAUUGUUGGUGCAGUGGCCUCAUUACUUUCUUAAUAUCUUAAGCUUCCAUUCUUUUAAAUUUUGGCAAGUACAUGAUGGUGUAUCUGACCUAUUAUUGUUCCUUUCUUCUUCUUCUGACCUGUUGAUGCCUCCCAGCCGUGGUUCAUCAUUAUGGAGGCUGUUGGUGGCCCUGCCUAUGCUCUGAUGCUUCCUCUGGAGUUCAGCUUCGAAGUAAAUCUCACAUCACACUGCAAACUUUUUUUCAAGCCAGAGACCUGUCUGUAAUUCGUAGCUCACCAGGGUCUGCAGGCCAGAGGCUGAAAAGUGUUGCAUCAAAGGAGCUGAGUGCUGGAGAUGUGGCUGAGAUGGAAAUGAAGGUCUAAAGUCCCAGAAUGGAAACCACCCAGGCCUCCUUGCUCAACUCCCUUCUGAUGCUGCAGCCUGGAACAGAAACAGAAAGCUCCAAGUAUCGUACUUCGUCGAACUCCCUUCUUUGGAGUAAUGGAAAGGAGAAGAGGCCUUGUGGGAAUUGAUUCCUAUGAAAAUGGCACAUGUUUCUCAUUCUGCAGAAGCCCAGCGGCAGCAAAAGGGAUGGAGCAGCACAAGGCCAAGCGUCAAGGCAGGAGAAGUGGAAGAGAAAGAACUCUGACCCACAGAGGAGCAAGAAGCUGCCUUCCCUACCACCAAAUAAUUCCUCUUCCUCAUUGGUGUGAAAUCCUGGCUACGCUGAAGUCAAUGGAAGUCUCAACAUCAGCUUUGACCAGGCUGCAAACAAGGUCAAAACAACCAUUCUGGGUAAUAAGAGACCUCCAUCACAUCAACUUGCUGCAUAAUUCCCUUCUGUCAGACUGACUUCGUAGGCUUGGAUUUUCUUGCCUGCCUCUCUACCAGAUUAAAAGACCCCUGCAAGCGAAGUCUACAAACAGUAAGAAAAAGUCCCAUGUUCUCAAGGAAAAAAUGAGAAAUUCAGGUGCUAAAAAAUGGAAAAUCUCCAGCAAUACUUGUGUUUACCUCUUGUCUCUCUAGAGAUGCCUUUACUGUCUCAUGAUAUGUGUUUACUUGGGAGAAUUGGGAGAAAUAGGCAGAAUCAUAGAAUCAUAGAAUCACAAGGUUGGAAACAACCUAUAAGAUCAUCUAGUCCAACCGACAACCGACAGAACUGAGUGGUGAUGGGACCCUGGUCUUAUGCAGCCAUGUAUCUCUACAUGGAAGGCAUUAGGAGGAGGUGGGUCCAUGGCAUGUUCUCUCAGACCUUGGGAAAGAAGCCUGGGAGCUUCACAUCCCCCCGCGUGAGGAGGAGAUGGGAAACAGCACAGACCACUCCGUCUUAAGGCUUUCCCAUCACACUGAUUUUAUUUGUGUUUUGAGAUAACUCAAGAAUCGCCGUGGCUUGCUUACAGAACCGUGGUGGUGCUGGGAAUCUCAGGGAGGGUCAGGGCAGGCAGUUUGCUUUGGCAGGCACGGUGUGAGCGCAUGGGGUGAAGGCUGACCACCUCCUUCACUCCUCACUGACGGGUUGGCCAUUUUCCUUGGGUGGUGGCCAGCCAUUCCUGCUAGAUUCACAUUACAGGGCUGCGUUUGCACUCUUCUACAUCAUCCCAGGCAUCCAGAUGUGUGACAGACGUGCACGCAUGCACUGCACUGCGGAUGCUGUAUUUUGGCUGCAGCUGAGGUAAAUAUUAUUUCUGUAUCAUGAGGAGGAUGAAAUAAUACCUCUGGAGGAUUUGGAAGAAAGAUGGAGGAGACUCAGUUUAUCAUGGUCUGCCUAUAGCUUUUUUCACUUGAGCACGUUGUCGUGCAACAAGAAAUAAAGCAGGAGAAGAAAAUGCA
rnacentral:lncRNA from 1 species